UAGAUACCCUACUAUGCCUAGCCUUAAACUUUGAUAGUAAGACCUACUAUCCGCCAGAGAAUUACGAGCGAAAAGCUUAAAACUCAAAAGACUUGACGGUGCCCCAAACCAACCUAGAGGAGCCUGUCCUAUAAUCGAUGACCCGCGCUUUACCCCACCUGCCCUCGCACAAAUCAGCCAGCCUAUAUACCGCCGCCUUCCAGCCUACCUUACAAAAGUAACACAGCAAGCAAAAUAGCCCCUCCGCUAAAACGUCAGGUCAAGGUGUAGCUAAUGGGCAGGAAAGAGAUGGGCUACAUUCUCUACGCACAUAGACCACCACCCCCGGUAUCAUGAAAACAUACCUCAAAGGAGGAUUUAGUAGUAAUUUAGGCAAGACUUCCUAAAUGAAUCCUGCUCUGGGGCGCGUACACACCGCCCGGUCACCCUCA
rnacentral:rRNA from 1 species